rnacentral:rRNA from 1 species
AUUGAACGCUGGCGGCAGGCUUAACACAUGCAAGUCGAGCGAGCGGAGGACGGGUGAGUAAUGUCUGGGAAACUGCCUGAUGGAGGCGGAUAACUACUGGAAACGGUAGCUAAUACCGCAUACCACGAGUUGUGCCCAGCUGGGAUGAGCUAGUAGGUGGGGUAAUGGCGCACCUAGGCGACGAUCCCUAGCUGGUCUGAGAGGAUGACCAGCCACACUGGAACUGAGACACGGCCCAGACUCCUACGGGAGGCAGCAGUGGGGAAUAUUGCACAAUGGGCGCAAGCCUGAUGCAGCCAUGCCGCGUGUGUGAAGAAGGCCUUCGGGUUGUAAAGCACUUUCAGCGAGGAGGCGGUACCCGCAGAAGAAGCACCGGCUAACUCCGUGCCAGCAGCCGCGGUAAUAC